rnacentral:lncRNA from 1 species
AGAAGGCGAAAUGGGCUAAUUAUAACUUACAUUUGCUGGUUCUUUAUCAUGUAUAUACUAGAUUCUUUCCCAACAAGAAAGUUUUAAAAUAUUUUACAAAAUGAGUAAAAAUUGCAGAUUUUAUUAUUAAACCUUUUUCAACAAUUGGUAUACUCCUUGAAUCUAUUAGUUUUAUUUUACUCCUGUUCACACACAAAAACAGUAAAAUACAGUGUCAACUCAUGAUUUUUCUUAUCUCAAAAAUAUGUUUUCUUAGAAAAAAAUCAUAUAGGAUAUGAGUUUAAAUAUAUUUUAAUUGUAUACCAGUGUUGUUGCACUCUACUUUUGGUAAGAAUAGAAUGAAAGGAAACAAUGUUUCACUCAUAGCAUUUUAUCUCAGGCAUCACUUCUGAAAGGAUGUAUAAGGUUAGGCACCCAAAUUUCUCCUAUUGUAAGGUAAUCCCACAGAAAAAUUCUAAUUUUUAACUUGAAAAGCACCUACUUAUUAAGAGGAAACUUUCAGAACUUUAAAUAUAAUGUAAAAUAUGUCUAU